rnacentral:rRNA from 1 species
UACGUAGGUGGCAAGCGUUGUCCGGAAUUAUUGGGCGUAAAGCGCGCGCAGGCGGUCUCCUAAGUCCGAUGUGAAAGCCCACGGCUCAACCGUGGAGGGUCAUUGGAAACUGGGGGACUUGAGUGCAGGAGAGAAGAGUGGAAUUCCACGUGUAGCGGUGAAAUGCGUAGAGAUGUGGAGGAACACCAGUGGCGAAGGCGGCUCACUGGCCCGUAACUGACGCUGAGGUGCGAAAGCGUGGGGAGCAAACAGG